ensembl:lncRNA
CUAGCAGAAUCUGCACUACAGUCUUUAUACAAUUCAGAAUUGCUAUUUCCUGUUGAAAUAGGGGGCGGAGAACAGCUUUUUACGAGGUUGAAUAGUGAUAGGACAAGGGGGAAUGGUUUUAAACUGAGACAGGGGAGGUUUAGGUUAGACAUUAGGAGGAAGCUUUUCACACAGAGGGUGGUGAUGCACUGGAACAGAUUGCCCAAGGAGGUUGUUGAUGCCCCAUCCCUGGAGGCAUUCAAGGCCAGGCUGGAUGUGGCUCUGGGCAGCCUUGUCUAGUGGUUGGCAACCCUGCACAAUAGCCGGGGGGUUGAAACUAGGCUAUCACUAUGUUCCUUUUCUGUGAGAAUACAAGAAAAACUGUUCAGAGUAGCAGCUGUGUAGCAAGAUAAACAGCAUGAGAACCAAGGGCAUCUCUAGAGGAAGAAAGAACAGCUCACAGCUCUGCUUGGGUAUCAUACAGCUGAUUGAAGGAUCUUUUCUUAAGGAAGUUAAUAACUGUGUUUUGCUCAAGUGUUCCACUUGGGCUCUGUAUCACACACUGGCCGCGCAGAUGCGAUGUACAAAUGGAAAAUACCCUGCAGACCCUGAGAAGAAUAUAAGUGGGAGAGAAUCUGUGGUGGGUGAGAGAGGAAAUGUGCACUUAGAAGCAGGGGACAGCCUGCUGGCACUGCCUAUCGCAUCCACCGCCAACAUGUUCCUUCUCUCUCCUUUUCCGCAGUUUGCUGUUUCUCAAGAGUCGGUAAGUAAUAAAUGCCCCUAGUAAUACUCUAGCACAUUUGCCUGCUAAUAUUGAUUCUAUCCAACAUGCAACUUCAUAAAGUUGUAUGACCAUUAAUUUUCUAUUAGCCCAAAGGCAUGGUUGUGAGCACUCUAAAAGCAUUUGUUGUACAAAUUUUAGUGAUCAUUCAAAAUCAAUAUAUCAGAGCAUAUGAAAGUCAAAGACUUUUUUCUAACCAGUUACAGAUUAACACAGAACGGGACCCUUAGGGGUUUAUUUCCAGGUUGCAGAAACUUGGGCUGUAGGCCAAACAUGUGUUUGUUCUUUUUUAGUGAGUUUAACAGUAUUUCUUCUUGUUAAGCUACGUUUGCCUGUCUCCUUUCUCACGUUUAGAAUAUUGUCAAUCGAGGCCUUGAUUGAGUUAUAAUGAUUAUGUUACUAAUAAAAUUAGUGUUAUUCUAUAGUAUGGUAGUAGUUUGCAAAUAAACAAAAAAGGGGGAAUUGUGGGAAUACAAGAAAAACUGUUCAGAGUAGCAACUGUGUAGCAAGAUAAACAGCAUGAGAACCAAGGGCAUCUCUAGAGGAAGAAAGAACAGCUCACAGCUCUGAUUGGGUAAGUGCCCACAUGAACGGUUGAAGAGUGUUUGUAGAAUGUUUUGUUGACAUGUGAAGGUGGAUGGGAAAGUUAUAGGGGCAGAUGGGAAAGCUAGGCAAAGAAAACUUGUGAAUGUAUAUAGGUAAUGUGAGAACUUGUAAUAAACAAUUUGGAUCAUUCACAUCUGAGUCAGUGAAUCAGACACUGCACUUUUCAACCCAGUCCAUUCUAUGAUUCUAUAACAUCAAUCUAUUGACUGCAACUCAUGAUUUACUCAGGAUUUACUCAUGAAUGUCAGUCAGCACGGCUUCACCAGGGGAAGGUCAUGCCUAACCAAUCUGGUGGCCUUCUAUGAUGGAGUGACAGCAUUGGUGAACAAAGGGAAGGUGUCCAAAGUCAUUUACCCGAACUUGAGCAAGGCCUCUGACAUGGUCCCCCACCACCUUCUUAUCUCCAAAUUGGAGGGAUGUGGAUUUGAUGGGAGGACCACCCGAUGGAUAAGGAAUUGGUUGAAAGGCCACAGACAGAGGGUGGUGAUUAAUGGUUCUAUGUUCAGAUGGAGUCUGGUAAUGAGCAGCGUCCCCAAGGGGUCUGUCUUGGGACCAGUGCUCUUUAACAUCUUUAUAAAUGACAUCAGUGACAGAAUUGAAUGCACUCUCAGCAAGUUUGCUGAUGACACCAGGCUGAGUGGUGCAGUUGACACAGUAAAGGAUGCCAUUUAGAGGGACCUCAACAGACUUCAAAGCUGGGCCUGGAUGAAUCUAAUGAUGUUCAACACAGCAAAGUGCAAGGUUUUGCACGUGGGCUGGAGGAAUCCCAGACAUAUAUAUACAGAUUGGGAGGAGUACUCCUUGAGAGAGCCCUGCAGAGAAGGACAUGGGGGUCCUGAUGGAUGAAAAACUUAACAUGAGCCAGCAGUGUGCUCUUGCAGCUCAGAAAGCUAUAUCCUCUAACCUCUGCUUGCACUGGGGUAUGUCCUGGCCUUUGGUACCACACCCUUUGGCCUGAUAUCAGUGGCUGGAUAGCUAUCAGGCACCAAAGCGGGGUUCUAAUUUGUCACGUGGAUGUGAUUAACAUCCCCUUUGCAGUGAAGGUCAGAGUUUCAACUACUUUCUCCACUGGCAAUUACUGGAGGUUAUAUCAAUCCCCCAGCCAUCUCAUGAGACCUCAGCAAUAAGGUCUCCCCUGCCAUCUCAACUCGAGUACUGUGUCCAGUUUUGGGCCCCUCACUGUAAGAAAGACAUCGAGGCCCUGGAGUGUGUCCAGAGGAGGGCAACAAAGCUUGUGAGGGGUCUGGAGCACAGGCCUUAUGAAGAGCGGCUGAAGGAGCUGGGAUUGUUCAGUCUGGAGAAGAGGAGGCUCAGGGGAGACCUUAUUGCUCUCUAUAACUACCUGAAGGGAGGUUGUAGUGAGCUGGGGGUCAGCCUCUUUUCUCGUGUGACUAGUGAUAGAACUAGAGGGAAUGGCUUCAAGCUGCGCCAGGGAAGGUUCAGGCUGGACGUUAGGAAAUACUACUUCUCUGUAAGGGUGGUCAGGCACUGGAAUGGGCUGCCCAGAGAGGUGGUGGAGUCACCUAGCCUGGUGGUGUUCAAAGAGUGUUUAGAUGUUGUGUUGAGGGACAUGGUUUAGCAAGAACCAUUGGUGAAGGGUGAAUGGUUGGACUGGAUGAUCCUGUGGGUCUUUUCCAACCUUAGCGAUUCUAUGAUUCUAUGACUUCGGGUGGCUACAGCAUAUCCUGCUUUUCAUUUCCCUUCCUUCAUGAAACUGCUUGCACAAACAAAUAACUCCCAAUUCAUUUUUUCAAGGACAGCAUCUCACAAGUUGACUUGACUAAAAUACUCUUGUUCAGUAGUUUGAAGGCUGUUUUGUUAUUUACCCUUCUUCUCUAUUUGCCAUCAGAAACACUGCUGGGUUCAAAAGGUUAGUUACAUUUAUCUCAACAUUCUUGCUUCCAGCAUAAUUGGAUAUUGUUUUUUUGUCUUUCCAGUCUGGCAUUCAGCUUCAGAUGUACAGUUACCAGUUCAGCCCAACUUGAUUGUCCUGGGGUUCUUGCAGCUCACACCAAAGCCAUUACUGCAUUCUGUACUUCUUCAGACUAGAGGUUUCUCAGACUAGAGGAAUAGAAGGCAGAAUGUGGGACACCCUCAGUCCGCCAAAGAGUCUGCCC